rnacentral:rRNA from 1 species
AUGACCCUAUUGCCCAAACGUGCUAACGCCCACCAGCUACGUGACUACCGGCCGAUAUGCUUGAUACACCUGGUGGCCAAGAUCUUCACGAAAGUACUAUCGCUGCGCCUUGCCCCAAAGCUGGACAGCCUGGUUAGUCGUAACCAGAACGCAUUCAUCACCGGACGCAGCCUCCACGAUAACUUCAUCCUUGUCAGGCAAUCGCUUAAGAUGUUGCAUCAACUUGGCUAUUAG